rnacentral:rRNA from 1 species
UACAGAGGUCUCAAGCGUUGUUCGGAUUCAUUGGGCGUAAAGGGCGCGUAGGCGGCGGGGUAAGUCGGGUGUGAAAUCUCAGAGCUCAACUCUGAAACUGCACUCGAUACUGCUCUGCUUGAGGACUGGAGAGGAGACUGGAAUUCACGGUGUAGCAGUGAAAUGCGUAGAUAUCGAGAGGAACACCAGUGGCGAAGGCGAGUCUCUGGACGACUCCUGACACUGAGGCACGAAAGCUGGGGGAGCAAACAGG